rnacentral:lncRNA from 1 species
GGGAUUAAAGGUGUUAUUUUGUUUUGUUUUGAGACAGUAUCUCUGUGUAGGGCCUGGUUGUCCUGAAACUUAACUGUGUAGAUAGUCUAGGCUGUGCUCAACUCACAGAGCUCUACCUGCCUCUGCUUUCUGAAGUGCUGGGAUUAAAGGUGUGCACGACCACACCCAGCUAGAAUUCAGCCUUUUUAGUAUGUUAGCUUUUGAAACUAUUCAAACUGAUUUGGAAAUAAAUUGAUUUCCUCAAAUUAUUAGGAUUUAGACUGCCUCAAACUUUUUAAGUUUGGCAUCACAUUCCUUUGGGCACUGGGCAUUCCAUGGGAAAAUGUGAGCUGUAGCAGUGGUGGGGAUGGAGGAUGCAGGCUGCUUGAAUAUCACCACUACAUUUCUGCUUCCCAGGACACUGAGUUUUAGUUUCAUUAGGAAUUUCUAAUGAAAAGAGAAGUUGCUUUUAGCAAAUAUUAUUUGCUUGUUUGAGUCAGAAACUGCUUGUGAACUGAAGCCAUAUCAAGGCACCUCUGCGAUACUGUUUUGGACUUGUACUAUUUACUUUGUGUUCCUGGAGUCUACAAAGUAUAUAACAUGGCAAAUAGGUCUUUGCCUGACUCUUCAUGACACCAGCAUGUUAACCAACCCAGGCUAUCUCUUAUGAGUUGUGGAGCUCUUUCAUGGUUAAAGAAACCAUCUCACCACCCUGGCUCUUGCAUACACUUAAAGAUAUAUAACCGGGGCUAGAGAGAUGGCUCAGCAGUUAAGAGCACUGAUUGCUCUUCCAGAGGUCUUGAGUUCAAUUCCCAGCAACCACAUGGUGGCUCACAGCCAUCUGUAAUCUUCUGGUGUGUCUGAAGACAGCUGCAGUGUACUCAUAAUUAAAGAUAAACAAAUCUUUAAGAUACAUAACCUUCCCCAUGUUGUUACCUUACAUACCCUUACGAGUGAAGAGAAGGAGGAGUGGAAAUGAUAAUCUCAGAGACAUGAGUGCUGGUAUCCCAUCAGUUAGAAGAGAACUCACCUCCCUUAGUCACCCACAUGGGAGCUAAUACAGCUUGCCAGCUUGACACCAUCUGGGAUAAAACUACCCUUAGACUUUAAGGGGAUGGGAUUUUAUCCUUAGGCUCUUUCUUCCUUAGUUGCAUUAAAAGACAAGCCAUCUGGCUGUAGUGGUACAUGCCUUUAAUCCUAGAUCUUGGGAAGCUAAGGCAGACAGAUGUCUGAGGGCUAGAGGUUGUCCUGGUCUACAUAAUGAGUUUCAGAAUUGCCAAAGCUGUAUAGUGAGACCCCAUC